ACGAACGCUGGCGGCGUGGAUAAGACAUGCAAGUCGAACGGGAGAAUUGCUAGCUUGCUAAUAAUUCUCUAGUGGCGCACGGGUGAGUAACACGUGAGUAACCUGCCUCUUAGUGGGGGAUAGCCCUGGGAAACCGGGAUUAAUACCGCAUACGAUUGAAAGAUCAAAGCAGCAAUGCGCUAGGAGAUGGGCUCGCGGCCUAUUAGUUAGUUGGUGAGGUAACGGCUCACCAAGGCGAUGACGGGUAGCUGGUCUGAGAGGAUGUCCGGCCACACUGGAACUGAGACACGGUCCAGACACCUACGGGUGGCAGCAGUCGAGAAUCAUUCACAAUGGGGGCAACCCUGAUGGUGCGACGCCGCGUGGGGGAAUGAAGGUCUUCGGAUUGUAAACCCCUGUCAUGUGGGAGCAAAUUAAAAAGAUAGUACCACAAGAGGAAGAGACGGCUAACUCUGUGCCAGCAGCCGCGGUAAUACAGAGGUCUCAAGCGUUGUUCGGAAUCACUGGGCGUAAAGCGUGCGUAGGCUGUUUCGUAAGUCGUGUGUGAAAGGCAGGGGCUCAACCCCUGGAUUGCACAUGAUACUGCGAGACUAGAGUAAUGGAGGGGGAACCGGAAUUCUCGGUGUAGCAGUGAAAUGCGUAGAUAUCGAGAGGAACACUCGUGGCGAAGGCGGGUUCCUGGACAUUAACUGACGCUGAGGCACGAAGGCCAGGGGAGCGAAAGGGAUUAGAUACCCCUGUAGUCCUGGCAGUAAACGGUGCACGCUUGGUGUGCGGGGAAUCGACCCCCUGCGUGCCGGAGCUAACGCGUUAAGCGUGCCGCCUGGGGAGUACGGUCGCAAGAUUAAAACUCAAAGAAAUUGACGGGGACCCGCACAAGCGGUGGAGUAUGUGGCUUAAUUCGAUGCAACGCGAAGAACCUUACCUGGGCUUGACAUGUAAUGAACAACAUGUGAAAGCAUGCGACUCUUCGGAGGCGUUACACAGGUGCUGCAUGGCCGUCGUCAGCUCGUGUCGUGAGAUGUUUGGUUAAGUCCAGCAACGAGCGCAACCCCUGUUGCCAGUUACCAGCACGUCAAGGUGGGGACUCUGGCGAGACUGCCCAGAUCAACUGGGAGGAAGGUGGGGACGACGUCAGGUCAGUAUGGCCCUUAUGCCCAGGGCUGCACACGUACUACAAUGCCCAGUACAGAGGGGGCCGAAGCCGCGAGGCGGAGGAAAUCCUGAAAACUGGGCCCAGUUCGGACUGUAGGCUGCAACCCGCCUACACGAAGCCGGAAUCGCUAGUAAUGGCGCAUCAGCUACGGCGCCGUGAAUACGUUCCCGGGUCUUGUACACACCGCCCGUCACAUCAUGGAAGCCGGUCGCACCCGAAGUAUCUGAAGCCAACCGCAAGGAGGCAGGGUCCUAAGGUGAGACUGGUAACUGGGAUG
rnacentral:rRNA from 1 species